rnacentral:rRNA from 1 species
UACGUAGGUGGCAAGCGUUGUCCGGAAUUAUUGGGCGUAAAGCGCGCGCAGGCGGUCCUUUUAAGUCUGAUGUGAAAAGCCCACGGCUCAACCGUGGAGGGGUCAUUGGAAAACUGGGGGGACUUGAGUACAGAAGAGGAAAAGCGGAAUUCCACGUGUAGCGGUGAAAAUGCGUAGAGAUGUGGAGGAACACCAGUGGCGAAGGCGGCUUUCUGGUCUGUAAACUGACGCUGAGGCGCGAAAAGCGUGGGGGAUCAAAACAGG